UUCAUUAUUCCUCCAAGACGGCCUACGGAAUGGCUGUCCCUUGUUUUCUAUUGAUUUUUUUUGGUAAAUUCCUUAACGGCUCUUUUAAUGGCUCCUUGAAAAGAUCGGACAAUAUCACUGGAUCUUCAAAUAUGUGGAUUUCAACGUGGCGGAAAUGUAUUAGAAAAAGGUGUAGAAGGAUGUUGGAAAAUAAGAAUCUAUCAAGACUACCACCGCUAAGCGAUAGCAUCACACCAAUUUACUAGGCUACCACGAAAUGCUCAUAUGCCUCUGGACAAUGCGAUUGAAAAUAAUCUACCGUUUCUGAGCGGAAUCUCAAACUUUUCCAUCUUGCAAGUAUAGAAGGAAACCCAAACUUGGGAACAAGCAUCGAGCAUUCCUACGACAUGGAGGUCCCUGGAUAUAUA
ensembl:miRNA mir-8199 miscRNA